AGAACAUAAAAAACCGUAAAAUGUAUUCACGAUAAUAAUAUUGUGUUUAAUUUUUUAUGACGCACAUCGUUGACCAAAGACCAGGAUUUUCAACACUCAACAACCAUAAUCAUAAUCGUAAAUGGGAUAAAGCACUUCUCAUGACACUUUGGUACUGAUCAAAUAAUGAAACAUUUUGGCAGCUGGGUGAUCGCUUUGAUGUAGCACGUGGAAAUGCUUGCCGGACAGUUCAUUAUCUGAUAGAUAUUAUAUGUACAGUGUGUGAUGAUUUUAUUAUUUGGCCAAAAGGAUCAAACAUAAUAAAUGUAGCAAAUAGUUUUAAUACAUUAAGGGUCAAUAAUUUUCCCAAUGUUAUUGGCGCAAUUGAUGGAUGUCAUAUUCGAAUUACAGUACCUCUGAAUAAAUGAAAAGACUACACAAACAGGAAGAUGUUUCAAUCAAUAGUCCUUCUAGUCAAAUCUUGAAUUUACUUAUGUGUUCGCUGGAUGGCCUGGGUCUUCUCAUGAUGUACGUGUCUACAGAAAUUCUACUCUUGGUAAAUGUUUAACAGCCGACGAUUGUACCUAAUUUCCGACAGAAUACCAUAUUUUAGCUUUUCCUUUGUCAAAAAGACUCUUGACCCCUAUCGCCAAAGAGAAAUUUUGACACCGACUCAAGCUAUCUACAAUAAAAGAUUAAGUUCAACAAGGGUAGUAAUAGAGCAGGCAUUUGGACUAUUAUUAGGUCGUUUCAGACGUUUGAAGAGUGUGUGUAUGAAAAAUGUGGAUAAUAUAUCGAAAGCUGUAACUGCUUGUUGUAUAUUACACAAUAUAGCUCUAAAUAAUGACGAUUAUACUUGGGUACCAAUUGAUACAAUUAGGAAUGAAUUUGUCAAUGAUGGUUUUAACAAUCAACAAGACUGGUAUUAAUAAAACAGUUUAGCAAGUUUAAAUACUUAAUAUAUCGCACGCGUGGAAUAAGUCAAUGAGACAUGAUGGACUUCUAGUUCUACAAAUGUUGAAUGACAUCGAUAUUAAAAAAUACAACGUACAUUAAUAAUCAUGAUUCUUAUAUACUAUAAUUCGUGGAAUUGCUAUAGUAGCAAACUUAGCUAAAUCAGCAUAAUGCCUUAAUCCAAAGGGCAAUUGAUAUUUCUUUUCACCACCGAUCAGACUUUUA